AUAUCAAUAAGCGGAGGAAAAGAAACUAACAAGGAUUCCCCUAGUAACUGCGAGUGAAGCGGGAAAAGCUCAAAUUUAAAAUCUGUCAGCCUUUGGCUGUCCGAGUUGUAAUCUAGAGAAGUGUUAUCCGCGCUGGACCGUGUACAAGUCUCCUGGAAUGGAGCGUCAUAGAGGGUGAGAAUCCCGUCUUUGACACGGACUGCCAGGGCUUUGUGAUGCGCUCUCAAAGAGUCGAGUUGUUUGGGAAUGCAGCUCAAAAUGGGUGGUAAAUUCCAUCUAAAGCUAAAUAUUGGCGAGAGACCGAUAGCGAACAAGUACCGUGAGGGAAAGAUGAAAAGAACUUUGGAAAGAGAGUUAAACAGUACGUGAAAUUGCUGAAAGGGAAACGCUUGAAGUCAGUCGCGUUGUCCAGGGAUCAACCUUGCUUUUGCUUGGUGUACUUUCUGGUUAACGGGUCAGCAUCAAUUUUGACUGUUGGAAAAAGAUCAGGGGAAUGUGGCAUCUUCGGAUGUGUUAUAGCCCUUGGUUGCAUACAAUGGUUGGGAUUGAGGAACUCAGCACGCCGCAAGGCCGGGUUUUAACCACGUACGUGCUUAGGAUGCUGGCAUAAUGGCUUUAAUCGACCCGUCUUGAAACACGGACCAAGGAGUCUAACAUGCCUGCGAGUGUUUGGGUGGAAAACCCGAGCGCGUAAUGAAAGUGAAAGUUGAGAUCCUUGUCAUGGGGAGCAUCGACGCCCGGACCAGACCUUUUGUGACGGUUCCGCGGUAGAGCAUGUAUGUUGGGACCCGAAAGAUGGUGAACUAUGCCUGAAUAGGGUGAAGCCAGAGGAAACUCUGGUGGAGGCUCGUAGCGAUUCUGACGUGCAAAUCGAUCGUCAAAUUUGGGUAUAGGGGCGAAAGACUAAUCGAACCAUCUAGUAGCUGGGUCCUG
rnacentral:rRNA from 2 species